UUAACGACUCUCGACAACGGAUAUCUCGGCUCUUGCAUCGAUGAAGAACGUAGCGAAAUGCGAUACUUGGUGUGAAUUGCAGAAUCCCGUGAACCAUCGAGUCUUUGAACGCAAGUUGCGCCCAAGGCCAUCGGGCCGAGGGCACGUCUGCCUGGGCGUCACGC
rnacentral:rRNA from 1 species